AAAAAGGGCUUCUGUCCUGAGUGGCACACGUAGAGCAACUCGGUUGCUUUUCGUGCGGAAUCGACAUCAAGAGAUUUCGGAAGCAUAAUUUUUUGGCAUUUGGGCAGCUGGUGAUCGUUGGUCAA
ensembl:snRNA